GACGUAGGAGGCGAGCGUUAUCCGGAUUCACUGGGCGUAAAGCGCAUGUAGGCGGAUGUCUAAGUCGUGUGUUAAAGCCCCUGGCUCAACUGGGGGAGGUCAUGCGAGACUGGAUGACUUGAGGGCAACAGAGGCACGUGGAACUCCCGGUGUAGCGGUGGAAUGCGUAGAUAUCUGGAGGAAUACCGGUGGCGAAGGCGGCAUCCUGGACCGACAUUGACGCUGAUGAGCGAAAGCUAGGGGAGCAAACGGG
rnacentral:rRNA from 1 species